AUUGAACGCUGGCGGCAGGCCUAACACAUGCAAGUCGAGCGGAAACGAGUUAUCUGAACCUUCGGGGAACGAUAACGGCGUCGAGCGGCGGACGGGUGAGUAAUGCCUAGGAAAUUGCCCUGAUGUGGGGGAUAACCAUUGGAAACGAUGGCUAAUACCGCAUGAUGCCUACGGGCCAAAGAGGGGGACCUUCGGGCCUCUCGCGUCAGGAUAUGCCUAGGUGGGAUUAGCUAGUUGGUGAGGUAAGGGCUCACCAAGGCGACGAUCCCUAGCUGGUCUGAGAGGAUGAUCAGCCACACUGGAACUGAGACACGGUCCAGACUCCUACGGGAGGCAGCAGUGGGGAAUAUUGCACAAUGGGCGCAAGCCUGAUGCAGCCAUGCCGCGAGUGUGAAGAAGGCCUUCGGGUUGUAAAGCACUUUCAGUCGUGAGGAAGGUAGUGUAGUUAAUAGCUGCAUUAUUUGACGUUAGCGACAGAAGAAGCACCGGCUAACUCCGUGCCAGCAGCCGCGGUAAUACGGAGGGUGCGAGCGUUAAUCGGAAUUACUGGGCGUAAAGCGCAUGCAGGUGGUUUGUUAAGUCAGAUGUGAAAGCCCGGGGCUCAACCUCGGAAUAGCAUUUGAAACUGGCAGACUAGAGUACUGUAGAGGGGGGUAGAAUUUCAGGUGUAGCGGUGAAAUGCGUAGAGAUCUGAAGGAAUACCGGUGGCGAAGGCGGCCCCCUGGACAGAUACUGACACUCAGAUGCGAAAGCGUGGGGAGCAAACAGGAUUAGAUACCCUGGUAGUCCACGCCGUAAACGAUGUCUACUUGGAGGUUGUGGCCUUGAGCCGUGGCUUUCGGAGCUAACGCGUUAAGUAGACCGCCUGGGGAGUACGGUCGCAAGAUUAAAACUCAAAUGAAUUGACGGGGGCCCGCACAAGCGGUGGAGCAUGUGGUUUAAUUCGAUGCAACGCGAAGAACCUUACCUACUCUUGACAUCCAGAGAACUUUCCAGAGAUGGAUUGGUGCCUUCGGGAACUCUGAGACAGGUGCUGCAUGGCUGUCGUCAGCUCGUGUUGUGAAAUGUUGGGUUAAGUCCCGCAACGAGCGCAACCCUUAUCCUUGUUUGCCAGCGAGUAAUGUCGGGAACUCCAGGGAGACUGCCGGUGAUAAACCGGAGGAAGGUGGGGACGACGUCAAGUCAUCAUGGCCCUUACGAGUAGGGCUACACACGUGCUACAAUGGCGCAUACAGAGGGCGGCCAACUUGCGAAAGUGAGCGAAUCCCAAAAAGUGCGUCGUAGUCCGGAUUGGAGUCUGCAACUCGACUCCAUGAAGUCGGAAUCGCUAGUAAUCGUGGAUCAGAAUGCCACGGUGAAUACGUUCCCGGGCCU
rnacentral:rRNA from 1 species